AUCACGAGAAACACUGAUGGGUGAUGUUCCUACUUGUGCUUCAUGUUCUUUCGCUUUUCUGUAUCUGAUUAUUGUAUUUUUCUCAUCAACAGCCUGCUGUAACAAUGGGCAAGGGGACAUUCUCCUUUUAUUAUUAUUUUUGUUGGCUUAUACUAUCCAUCAUAUAUAUGUAUGUGUGAUUUUUAUACUUCUACACAGUGCAAUUUCUUUUCAGCAAACAAUUCAUAAAACCAUAUGUAUUUGUAGUGCUUCUACUAGCAGUAUGAUAUGUUGAAUUUGUCAAAAUUAUAUUUUCAAGCUAAAUUCACAUGGAUAUAUAUUCUUCGUACCAUGUACCUUUUGCAUCAGUAUGUUCUUUGGGUGAUUGUCCUUCAUAUAAUGUCUAAACUUGUCAUUUUCUUACAGAUGUUCUUCAUUCUUUUCAGUUUUGAAUAAUAAAAUUUAUAGUGAUAAUUUAUAUCAAUGUGGCAUUAUUAUGACAUUUUAGUUUCAUUUGAAAAUCCUUUUCAUGUAGUGAUAUAAAAUUACACUAGUGAAACUUCUUCAAUUUCAUCGCACAGAUUGUACUUUCUAUCUUACGGAGGGUGCCCUUUUAUUGCUAUGAUGUACAGUCAUUGUGUGUUUUAUCUCUUCUAGAGGCUUUUUUUUAUUUCAUCAUAGUCUGCUCGAUCAUGGAGGGUUAGCUCAAAUCUUUCUAGCUAGUUUCUGCCCUCUCUACAACUGUUUCCUCAUGCACCUCCACAUUUACUGUACCAUUCCUACUUAAUUAUAGUUUAGUAUAUGCAGAGACAAUGUUGCCUUUCAGUGCAUACGACCACUAAAUCUUGGAUAAUCCCAUGCUUGCAUAUUUGAAACUAUUUUUCCUGGCCACCAUCUAUGGUUUGCUUGGCAUCCCUUUUUUCAUACUUGAUGUGGUACAGGCCUAUCUGCCACAUAAUGAGAACAACGAUGACUCUAAGAUGAUAUGUGAAGACAACUUCAAGAAUGUAUACAAGUUAUUUUAUGGUUGAGUAUCCUAUUGUGUCUACUAAGAGUUUACCCAAGUGUUUUUGAGAUGAGUGGUGUGUAAUGCACCUUUCCAAGGUACCUCUUUCGUCCAAAACUAAGCUAUAUAGUUUACCAAGUGUUCAUCAUGUUUUCUAGUGUUUUACAGUUCGUUAAACAACUAUGUAUUAUAUGAACAUGUCUGAGCUAAAAAAAUAUUAACUUUAUGCUAUGUAGCAGCUGUGAUUUUUCUAUAUAAUAUUUUUAUAACCAUGUCAAAUGUGAACUGCAUGGUCCACGGCCUGGUGUUCACAAAAAUGUGUACUAGCAUCUAUUGUCCAGUCACACCUCCAUGGUCUGCAGCUUCUACAUGAGCUUAUAACUGGUUCAUGCCCAAGUGUUUAAAAUAUAUGUAGCAACUAAGGAUUUGGGAAUUUAAUUCGGGCGCCAACAAAUAUGGUAUAAGUGACAUUAUAAAUUAUUUAAUUUGGUUGCAUAGUUAAAUGUUGUCGGGCGCCAACUAAGGAUUUAUAACAAAGCUCAUCAUUUCACACGUUGGGCUUAUUUGGCCCAUGCUAUGCUAUUGGGAGAACCUAAUUUGGAACCUGUGCAUAUGAAAACUUUUUGUUGGAUUAGACAUAAUGCUAAAUGUUCAUGAGCUUUGUUUGAUAAUGCUUCUAUGAAUCUUAGGUCACAAAUUGUUAAAUGUGUGGUACAUAGUUUUUUUUAUCUGAUCGUUGUGUUUAUGAACUGUGAUUGUGCAAAUUUUUAAACAUGCAAUGGCAGAUGGAACGUCAACAAUAUAAGGUUAUCAUUCAUGUUGCUUCGUUGCAGAUUUGUAUGGUACGGUGUCACCCAUAAAAUUGAAAUUGUGUUCUCCCUGAGCUUUAUUAGAGCUCGCAAUGUGGAGGAAAUCAGCACUGGUCAAACUGUAACUGUGGCAUGUACUUGU